rnacentral:rRNA from 2 species
CACAGUUUAUACCGUAGCUUGCUACACCAUAGACUGUGAGUUGCGAACGGGUGAGUAACGCGUAGGUAACCUGCCUAUUAGAGGGGGAUAACUAUUGGAAACGAUAGCUAAUACCGCAUAACAGUAUGUAACACAUGUUAGAUGCUUGAAAGAUGCAAUUGCAUCGCUAGUAGAUGGACCUGCGUUGUAUUAGCUAGUAGGUAGGGUAAUGGCCUACCUAGGCGACGAUACAUAGCCGACCUGAGAGGGUGAUCGGCCACACUGGGACUGAGACACGGCCCAGACUCCUACGGGAGGCAGCAGUAGGGAAUCUUCGGCAAUGGGGGGAACCCUGACCGAGCAACGCCGCGUGAGUGAAGAAGGUUUUCGGAUCGUAAAGCUCUGUUGUUAAGGAAGAACGAGUGUGAGAAUGGAAAGUUCAUACUGUGACGGUACUUAACCAGAAAGGGACGGCUAACUACGUGCCAGCAGCCGCGGUAAUACGUAGGUCCCGAGCGUUGUCCGGAUUUAUUGGGCGUAAAGCGAGCGCAGGCGGUUAGAAAAGUCUGAAGUGAAAGGCAGUGGCUCAACCAUUGUAGGCUUUGGAAACUGUUUAACUUGAGUGCAGAAGGGGAGAGUGGAAUUCCAUGUGUAGCGGUGAAAUGCGUAGAUAUAUGGAGGAACACCGGUGGCGAAAGCGGCUCUCUGGUCUGUAACUGACGCUG